rnacentral:rRNA from 1 species
CAUGUAGGCGGCAUGACAAGUCUGGUGUGAAAUAUCUCGGCUCAACCGAGAAAACGCACUGGAAACUAUCAAGCUUGAGUAUCGGAGGGGAAGCUAGAAUUCCUGGUGUAGGGGUGAAAUCUGUAGAUAUCAGGAAGAAUACCGGUGGCGAAGGCGAGCUUCUGGCCAGAUACUGACGCUGAGAUGCAAAAGCGUGGGGAGCGAACAGGAUUAGAUACCCUGGUAGUCC